UCCAGAUCUUUCAGCGCUCCUUGGCACUGAUUCCACAGAGAGAACUCCUGCACACCAAAACACUUGGGACCAGUACCGGAGAAUGAGUCAGAGCUGAAGAAAAAGAGCCCAAAGAAGAGAAAGAUGGACGGAGACAGAGAUUGAGGACUUCUUAGUCAAAACAAACUGUGCAGACAGA